UACUGCAGAACUUAGUUACAGAUUCAUCUGCUUUGUUCAUUUCCGGCAUCUUGCUGUGCACUACUUAGUACGCGCGUAGUUGCAGGCAUUCCGGGUGCAGCAACUGACGCGGAAGACUUUUCCCAGAGUGUGCGCUUCAACUGGCGUGCUGAGUAGUGCACAGCAAUAUGCUGGGCAUGGACAGCUACCACCGCUGAGUUCGCUGUAUAGAACGUUUGCU
rnacentral:pre_miRNA from 1 species